GAUCAUGGCUCAGGAUGAACGCUGGCGGCGUGCCUAACACAUGCAAGUCGAGCGAUCUUCUUCGGAAGAGAGCGGCGGACGGGUGAGUAACGCGUGGGUAACCUGCCUCAUACACAUGGAUAACAUACCGAAAGGUAUGCUAAUACAAGAUGAUAUAAGAGAUUCGCAUGGAUUUCUUAUCAAAGCUUUUGCGGUAUGAGAUGGACCCGCGUCUGAUUAGCUAGUUGGUAAGGUAAUGGCUUGCCAAGGCGACGAUCAGUAGCCGACCUGAGAGGGUGAUCGGCCACAUUGGAACUGAGACACGGUCCAAACUCCUACGGGAGGCAGCAGUGGGGAAUAUUGCACAAUGGGCGAAAGCCUGAUGCAGCAACGCCGCGUGAGCGAUGAAGGCCUUCGGGUCGUAAAGCUCUGUCCUCAAGGAAGAUAAUGACGGUACUUGAGGAGGAAGCCCCGGCUAACUACGUG
rnacentral:rRNA from 1 species